GACGAACGCUGGCGGCGUGCUUAACACAUGCAAGUCGAACGGAAAGGCCCUGCUUUUGUGGGGUGCUCGAGUGGCGAACGGGUGAGUAACACGUGAGUAACCUGCCCUUGACUUUGGGAUAACUUCAGGAAGCUGGGGCUAAUACCGGAUAGGAGCUCCUGCUGCAUGGUGGGGGUUGGAAAGUUUCGGCGGUUGGGGCUGGACUCGCGGCUUAUCAGCUUGUUGGUGGGGUAGUGGCUUACCAAGGCUUUGACGGGUAGCCGGCCUGAGAGGGUGACCGGCCACAUUGGGACUGAGAUACGGCCCAGACUCCUACGGGAGGCAGCAGUGGGGAAUAUUGCACAAUGGGCGGAAGCCGGAUGCAGCAACGCCGCGUGCGGGAUGACGGCCUUCGGGUUGUAAACCGCUUUCGCCUGUGACGAAGCGUGAGUGACGGUAAUGGGUAAAGAAGCACCGGCUAACUACGUG
rnacentral:rRNA from 1 species